GUGUGGGGACUUUCCCAAGGUCACAAAGCAGUUUGCUGGCUGAGCCAGGAAUAGAACUCCUGAGCCGGGCUGUGAUCACCCUGUGCCCAAAUGGCCAGGCAGGAGGGGGCUGGGCCUCCUCGAUGCUUCCAUGUGGGCCAAGGGGAGGGGCUGGGAAGAUGUCACCCAGGCCUGAUGGGGAAGGCCAGGCUGAGGGCUCUCUCGAGGACCACUGUCUUUCGUGGGAGAGGAGAGUGUCUGAACUCCGGGUGAGAGGCUAGUGUUGAGAGGCAGUGGCUGGCUGUGGCUAAGAAGGCUGUGGUGUGUGUGUCUUAAGAUCAUUUGGGAGCCUUGUUAAAAAACACACACACACACACACACCCCAAACACACACACACACACACACACACCCCAAAAACCCAGCAUUUGUUUUCCUGGUGGCUCUUUGCAAAACACUCCAGCUAUGAAGAGGGGAGGGGCUGGCGUAGCAUCGCAGAUGUAGGGACUCUGAAGGCUGAUGAAAUAAACCCAUCCUUGUCAACUGGGGAAAGGCACUCAGCAAUCCAGGACAAGACGGCAUGGUGCGGAUCCUGCAGGAGGUUCCCGCAUCCUUUUUUGGCUGGGUUUAUUUUGGGGACAGGAGGGCUGUUUGGCGCUGAUGAGGGUUUGUGUCCUCCUAGGGGCUUCUUGAUUUCAUUUAGCUCAGUCUCCUCUCCAACGGCUCAGCUCAGUGAGCGCCUGGAAGAAAGUGAGAAUGCCAAAGCAACCCCUCGGUGGGAGGAGGGAAGGCCUUUCAGAAUGGGAGCUCAAAGACAGGCCAGAGGAAGGCCAGGCGGGAAGAGGCUCUCUGGCAAGAGGCAGAGCUGAGGCAAUCAGGUAGAAAUCAAGGUGGGGGGGUGACCUGGGGACCCACUGCCUCCACGCUCACCUUCAGCGCGGGGCCGGCAGACACCCAGAAGGGCCACAGGCGGCUGACUAAAAAUCUCCACACCAGGAACUUCGAGCGAUGAAAACAACUUUGUCCAUCUAACCUUUCCUUUUUGAUUAUUUUAAUUUUUGUGAGACCAAAUUUUAAGGACAUAAACACAACAAGAGCCGCAGCAGAGGGUUCCUUGCAGCCGACGUGAGCUAGGGAGCUGAGGCCCAGGUCUUGACCCCGCGUCCCCAGGGCCCGCCUAUCCUGUGGUGGGUGAGGGCAGAGCUGCCCUGGACACCAGGGUCUCCUCUGUCUGCGUGCAUCGCUUGUCGAGCCCGCGAGUGAUAAAGGCAACUGGGACUUGAUUGUCCGAGUGACAGUUGUGAUCUUAAUGACCGGCAGUAGGUUAUUAAUCAAGACAUUUGUCAGGAGCACUGGGAGGCGGCGGGGAGGGAGAGGGAGAAGACGGGCCUGGAGGAAGAGAGAGUGCAGUUCUAGAAGAAGCUCCUCCGUGGUUCAGAUCCCAGCCCCACCGUCCAGGGAAGUUGGCCUCUCCUAGGUUUGCAGCAAGGAUGAAGGCAGAAGGCCGGGCACAGUAGGCACUUAACGAAUGCUGAUUCUGAGCAGCCAGGACUGCUGCCAGGGCCGGGUUAGCAGCACAC
rnacentral:lncRNA from 10 species